rnacentral:rRNA from 1 species
GAUGAACGCUGGCGGCGUGCCUAAUACAUGCAAGUCGAGCGAACAGACGAGGAGCUUGCUCCUCUGACGUUAGCGGCGGACGGGUGAGUAACACGUGGAUAACCUACCUAUAAGACUGGGAUAACUUCGGGAAACCGGAGCUAAUACCGGAUAAUAUAUUGAACCGCAUGGUUCAAUAGUGAAAGACGGUUUUGCUGUCACUUAUAGAUGGAUCCGCGCCGCAUUAGCUAGUUGGUAAGGUAACGGCUUACCAAGGCAACGAUGCGUAGCCGACCUGAGAGGGUGAUCGGCCACACUGGAACUGAGACACGGUCAAGACUCCUACGGGAGGCAGCAGUAGGGAAUCGGCCGCAAUGGGCGAAAGCCUGACGGAGCAACGCCGCGUGAGUGAUGAAGGUCUUCGGAUCGUAAAACUCGGUUAUUAGGGAAGAACAAAUGUGUAAGUAACUAUGCACGUAUUGACGGUACCUAAUCAGAAAGCCACGGCUAACUACGUG